AUUGAACGCUGGCGGCAGGCCUAACACAUGCAAGUCGAGCGGAUGAAGGGAGCUUGCUCCUGGAUUCAGCGGCGGACGGGUGAGUAAUGCCUAGGAAUCUGCCUGGUAGUGGGGGAUAACGUCCGGAAACGGGCGCUAAUACCGCAUACGUCCUGAGGGAGAAAGUGGGGGAUCUUCGGACCUCACGCUAUCAGAUGAGCCUAGGUCGGAUUAGCUAGUUGGUGGGGUAAAGGCCUACCAAGGCGACGAUCCGUAACUGGUCUGAUAGGAUGAUCAGUCACAUUGGAACUGAGACACGGUCCAGACUCCUACGGGAGGCAGCAGUGGGGAAUAUUGGACAAUGGGCGAAAGCCUGAUCCAGCCAUGCCGCGUGUGUGAAGAAGGUCUUCGGAUUGUAAAGCACUUUAAGUUGGGAGGAAGGGCAGUAAGUUAAUACCUUGCUGUUUUGACGUUACCAACAGAAUAAGCACCGGCUAACUUCGUG
rnacentral:rRNA from 1 species